CAGCAGCAGCCGCGGUAAUACGUAGGUGGCAAGCGUUGUCCGGAAUUAUUGGGCGUAAAGGGCUCGCAGGCGGUUUCUUAAGUCUGAUGUGAAAGCCCCCGGCUCAACCGGGGAGGGUCAUUGGAAACUGGGAAACUUGAGUGCAGAAGAGGAGAGUGGAAUUCCACGUGUAGCGGUGAAAUGCGUAGAGAUGUGGAGGAACACCAGUGGCGAAGGCGACUCUCUGGUCUGUAACUGACGCUGAGGAGCGAAAGCGUGGGGAGCGAACAGGAUUAGAUACCCCUGUAGUCCCUGUCUCUUAUAC
rnacentral:rRNA from 1 species